rnacentral:rRNA from 1 species
UACAGAGGUCCCAAGCGUUGUUCGGAUUCACUGGGCGUAAAGGGUGCGUAGGUGGUCGGGCAAGUCUGAUGUGAAAUCUUCGAGCUCAACUCGAAAAUGGCAUUGGAUACUAUUCGGCUGGAGGGUUGGAAGGGGGACUGGAAUUCUCGGUGUAGCAGUGAAAUGCGUAGAUAUCGAGAGGAACACCGGUGGCGAAGGCGAGUCCCUGGACAAUUCCUGACACUGAGGCACGAAAGCUAGGGGAGCAAACAGG